GAAACAAAACCAAAAACAGUAAAGAAAUGAAGGGAAAUGAACCAUCUCCCUUUUCAUUUCGCUAGUUCGAUAAUUACAUCAGUAAAACACCAGAAGCGGUCAUUUUUUCCUCCCGUCGGUCUCAGCUAUGCUUCCAUUUACGGCUCGAUCCCUCCAUGACAUCUGAGUUCAUCGAAGUCCAAAUAGUCAUAGUUCCUUCGGUCUUAGUAGCCUUAUUCUUCAUCCCUCUCCUUGUAGUCCAUGUCAAUCUUGAUUUACUAGUUCUUCUACUCUCUUUGGAGCCUCUUCUAUCCAAUAUUUAGGGGUUUCAUAACGCCUACCCUCCUCUGCCAAACUGUGCGCUGCUUCAUUAGCUUUUUAAGGCACGUGUCGAAAUUCUAUUUUUUCAAACCUACAAAUCAUUUCUUUUACUUCAUUGACUGGAUUACUGAUGUUCGAUUUAUCCUCCUCUGUGGUCCUUACUCUCUUGAAAACAGUUAAGGUGUCCCCUGCUACCAAAAUCCUCCUAAACCCUAGUUCAUUCGUGAAAAUUACAGGUUUCAAACAUGCUCGCGCUUUUGCCAUGGUUGAUUUUAACACAUGCUCAUUCAGCUAUUCAGGUUUCUUCCAAAUUCUAGUGGCACCGGAAGACCAAGAAAAGACGACGUUCACAUGCCCUUUUGGCACAUUUGCCUAUAGACCAAGAAAAGACAAUGUCUGCAUGUCCUUUUUCCAUAUUGUCCAUAUUUUAGAGGUGUAUGGUAAACAUAUUUUUUGACUAUGUCGAGAAAAUAAUUUAUGCAUUUAUGGAUGACUUCACGGUGUAUGGUGAUUCUUUCA